UGAGUACGAGAUGCUACGGCAUCGAAGCAGUCUAUGUCAUACUUCCAAGAAAAGCUUGCACUGUCAUAAACAAAGAAUGCCUGUACCAUAACCGACACAGGUGGGUAGGUAGAGUAUACUAAGGGGCGCGAGAUAACUCUCUCUAAGGAACUCGGCAAAAUGACUCCGUAACUUCGGGAGAAGGAGUGCCUUAUUUCUAAGGUUGCAAUAACAAGAUCCAAGCAACUGUUUACCAAAAACACAGGUCUCCGCUAAGUCGUAAGACGAUGUAUGGGGGCUGACGCCUGCCCAGUGCCAGAAGGUUAAAGAAGUUGGUUAGCAUUAGCGAAGCUGAUAACUGAAGCCCUGGUGAACGGCGGCCGUAACUAUAACGGUCCUAAGGUAGCGAAAUUCCUUGUCGGGUAAGUUCCGACCCGCACGAAAGGCGUAAUGAUUUGGAUACUGUCUCGGAGAGGGGCUCGGUGAAAUAGACUUGUCUGUGAAGAUGCGGACUACCUGCACCUGGACAGAAAGACCCUAUGAAGCUUUACUGUAACUUGAGAUUGAAAUUGGACUUUAUUUGCGCAGUAUAGGUGGGAGGCGUUGAGAAUAAUCUUGCGGGAUUGUUGGAGCCAUCAGUGAGAUACCACUCUUGUAAUGUUAGAUUUCUAACUUUGUAUCAUUAUCUGGUCAAAGAACAGUUUCAGGCGGGCAGUUUGACUGGGGCGGUCGCCUCCCAAAGGGUAACGGAGGCGCACAAAGGUUUCCUCUGAACGGGUAGAAAUCGUAUCUAGAGUGUAAAGGCAUAAGGAAGCUUGACUGUGAGACCUACAAGUCGAGCAGGGACGAAAGUCGGUCUUAGUGAUCUGACGGUGCUGAGUGGAAAGGCCGUCACUCAACGGAUAAAAGUUACUCUAAGGAUAACAGGCUGAUCUCCCCCAAGAGCUCACAUCGACGGGGAGGUUUGGCACCUCGAUGUCGGCUCAUCGCAUCCUGGGGCGGUAGUCCGUCCCAAGGGUUGGGCUGUUCGCCCAUGAAAGCGGUACGCGAGCUGGGUUCAGAACGUCGUGAGACAGUUCGGUCCAUAUCCGGUGUAGGCGUUAGAAUAUUGAGAGGAGCCUUCUCUAGUACGAGAGGACCGAGAAGGACAUACCUCUGGUGUACCAGUUAUCGUGCCAACGGUAAACGCUGGGUAGCUAUGUAUGGAGUGGAUAACCGCUGAAAGCAUCUAAGUGGGAAGCCCACCUCAAGAUAAGUAUUCUCAU
rnacentral:rRNA from 1 species